AGAGUUUGAUCCUGGCUCAGGAUGAACGCUAGCGGCAGGCCUAAUACAUGCAAGUCGAACGGAGCAGCAAUGCUCAGUGGCGCACGGGUGCGUAACGCGUAUGCAACCUACCUUUUCCUGGGGGGAUAGCCCGGAGAAAUCCGGAUUAAUACCGCAUAAGACCAUAACUUAGCAUUGGGUAGUGGUUAAAGAUUUAUCGGGAAAAGAUGGGCAUGCGUCCGAUUAGCUAGUUGGUGAGGUAACGGCUCACCAAGGCAACGAUCGGUAGGGGUUCUGAGAGGAAGAUCCCCCACACUGGUACUGAGAUACGGACCAGACUCCUACGGGAGGCAGCAGUAGGGAAUAUUGGGCAAUGGUCGCAGGACUGACCAGCCAUGCCGCGUGCAGGAAGAAGGCUUUCUGAGUUGUAAACUGCUUUUGUAAGGGAAGAAAAGGCUUUACGUGUAGAGCAAUCGACGGUACCUUAUGAAUAAGCACCGGCUAACUCCGUGCCAGCAGCCGCGGUAAUACGGAGGGUGCAAGCGUUGUCCGGAUUUAUUGGGUUUAAAGGGUGCGUAGGCGGAUGUUUAAGUCCGGGGUGAAAGACGGUCGCUCAACGAUCGCAGUGCCCUGGAUACUGGAUAUCUUGAGUACAGAUGAGGCUGAUGGAAUGGGUGGUGUAGCGGUGAAAUGCAUAGAUACCAUCCAGAACACCGAUUGCGAAGGCAGUCAGCUAAGCUGGAACUGACGCUGAGGCACGAAAGCGUGGGGAUCAAACAGGAUUAGAUACCCUAGUAGUCC
rnacentral:rRNA from 1 species